UCGGAACAUAAAGAAUGAACA
rnacentral:piRNA from 1 species